UGCCAGGCUAGGUCGGGGGGUUGAACGUCCCCUAUAUGUUCUCGGACAUACCGAAAUCGUUCUAAGCGGAGACCGAAUGUCCGGAGGCGGCACAACCAGUAGGAUAUUAAUCCGUAGGAUUGCGAUGAGUUCUCGUCUCAUGUGGUUAAAGGUUGUUUCGGUGUUGCCGGAGGGCAAUUCCCGUUUCAUUCACCAUGGGUACCGGGUGAGGCCCGGAAGGGAGCAGCCUUACCGUGGACUCUUAACGCUCUUGAGGUAGCGGGGACGAGCUUGAUAACGGGUCAUUGAUGUCAGACCAGGAUGUCCACUCCGGUCGUGCCUGGUU
rnacentral:SRP_RNA from 1 species